GCCAAUCCAGUCUCAAGGAACGCAUUUCCCUCCUCACCUUUGCUUCGGCGUUCGGUCUCCAACCUGGCUCUACGUCCGACAGAGACACUUCCUUGCUCGAAUAAAGAUUCAAUUCAGGAUGUAAUGCCUGUGGUGUUUUGAGUGACUAGCCUAGUGGAUCCUGUCUGAGCAGCUAUCCAAGAAAGCAAGCAACAAAGAUGUCCAGUCUGCCCUGCAAGGAGAGGGAGUUGAUGUAGCCUCCACUGUGCCACUUCUCUUGGCCCACUUCAAGGAGGACAAGGAAGGACUUCUCCUUCAAGCUGAUGCAGGUGCAUCAGCUGCUGAUGUCGAAGAGGCACUUACCCUGCCUGCCAGUCCUCGGUUGAUACUGGUUGGUGAUACUCCACAUUGGAUGCUGAGCAUUGAGGGCCAGGUGGUGUGUGAGGGGACCACCUUUGUGUCUGGCCUUGCAGUACUUUUUGCGUCAUAUUACAACUUUAACCUGCAGUACCAGGAUGAGGCGGCUUGUACGCUGGAGUUCAUUCAAAGACGGUUCAUCGAUAUAAAUCCUGAGAAGGGAACAAGAGCCCAACAAGGAAAAGUGGUGUCAAAGAAGACUGGAAGAGAAGUGCAAAAGAAGCCACACAAUGUCAAUCCACACGUUGCCACACUUCUGCGCAAGCUUAUGGAUUACAAGUGGGACUUUGGAAAUUAGUCAACACGUACCCCCUCUCUCACACUGUGACACACACACACACACACAUACACACAGGGAAGGAGGUGAGAGGGACAGAGGAGCAGGAAAGGGGAGAGAAUGAAGAAAGGGAUCGUGGUGUGAGGAAUGUUUAGUUCGUCCAAAAAUGUUCUAAUAGAAUGUUUUAUAGUAAAAGGGACAGAGCAGCAGGAAAAGGUAGAGUGGGAAGAGAGGGACGGCAGUGUGAGGAAUGUUUUGUUGGUCUAAAUAUGUCCCAGCUGAAAUCCCUUUUUGCAUUUGUUCUAAAAUGACAUAACAUUGUCUGUUUAAAAAAUGUUUGGUCAGUCAAAUAAAAUGUUUUACACUAAAUUGC